rnacentral:lncRNA from 1 species
UGUCGAAAAAAAUCGAUCCAUACAAAUUGACCCGCCCUAACGUACAUACAUAUAUCUAUAUAUUGUAGCAUUUCAUGAAAUUUCAUCUAUGUAUACAUGCGCAAUAGGCUCUUUAUAAGUUUCGUGAUACAUAUGUAUAUACAUAAAUAUGUACAAACGCGUAUAUAUGUAUGUAUGUACAUAUGUCAAUCACCUACAAAUGAAAGUCUGUUUUGCAUUGACAUCGGUCCGUUUAAAUACCGUUAUUAUAGUCUGAUUGGGUAAGUAUAAAUGCGCGAAAAUGAAAGAUUAUAAAGAAAAAAUGCUAACGUCUUUCAUACGGAAAAGUUUUCCGAGCCGUUCGGACGUGGUUUUUAAGCGAAUUUUUUUUCCAGACCUUAUCGCGCGCCCUAAAUCGACGAGAUGUCCAGCGUUCGCCGCUGCGUAGCCCGGGACUGCCCCAUCACCAGCUUGGACGCCAAACUGUAUGCAUGGCCACAGGAUGAGGAGAUAGCCCAGAAGUGGAGGCAAAACCUCCGGAUUUCGCCAGACGCCCACAUUGCCCCAACCAACACCUUCAUUUGCGGCGCCCACUUUCCUCACUUCGCCGUUGGAAGCCAGCGACUGAAGCGUGGGGCGGUCCCAACCCUCAACCUUGGACCAGAAGAAGAUGUCGUUCUGCAGCAUUCUACUGAGGAGGCAAAGGGGUACCGCAGUUGCUGCGUUGAGGCGACGACCAUGACGACCAGACCCUAUUUGGCUUCCCGAAGACGGAAGUUGCCUUCAAUAAUUGGGCCUUAGUUUGUAAUUUGAAAGUGUCAUUUCUGCCAAAUAAAAAAAAAUCGUAUUUGCGAACGUCAUUUUCAUAAAAGAUAUUUAACCAAAACGCGACUUUUAAAGGGGGCUUUUCCUCUAUUCAAUUUGCCACCUCAAAUUCCGAAUGAGCCAAAUAGCUGCUCCUCCGAAUUAAUCCUUCAGCCUGUUAAGCAUGUUUACAAGUCGGAAGGCGACUUGACACUCGAGCAAUUCGAACAAUUAUCUGAUAUAGAAGUCAAAAGACAGCGCUUUGAUGUUCGGGGCACUGAGGAGGGCCUUAGCAAUGAACCUGGUUUCUGCGACCAUGAGCCUUUCGCUCGGGCUGCGCGUAUUUAUCAGGGUAACGCGAGAAAGCAGAACAUACAUAUUGAAGAGUUGCAAAACGAAAACGUCGCGUUAAACCAACAAAUUGCUCGUUUGCAAACACACACGAUAAUAGCUUCGCCCGAUUGUAGCGAUGACGCUUUAAAUUUUGCUAGAAUGAUAGUACGGUCGGUUAGUUCCUACACGGACACGGAAAAAACUUUAGCUCAUAAUAUUAAUUACAUGUCGACUAAAGCCUAUAAUUUUAUGCGCGAUGACUUGAAGUUUUCACUUCCUCACAAAAAAUCCCUUUUGCGAUGACGUCCUAUUAAAUAUGUAUCGCCGGGUAUAGAUUCUAAAGUAAUUGAAAUUUUAAAAUAUAUCGUUUCUGAAAUGUCUCCCACCGAGCGGUUUUGCGAAAUUUUAUUCGACGAAAUUUCUAUUAAAAAAGAUCUCGUUUAUAAUAAAAGUAGACAUUAUUGACGGUUUCGUAGAUAUUGGCGACGGUAAUCGCGACCUCAAUGUUGCCGAUAAAUGUUGUUUUUUCAUGGUGAAAGCCAUCGCGGCGGAUUGGAAAUAUGUCCUUUCCUAUUAUAUGGUAUGUCGGCUUCAAGUCUUUUACAUUCCUUAACGGAAAAUAUUAAAACGGUUGAAGGCCUCGGCUUAAGCGUCAAAGCGUCAUUUUAAACUUUUAAAUGCCUCCGCGGAAAAUUCGUUCUUUAUUUUCAAUGGAAAAUGUCUUUACAACUAUUGCCAUUUAAUUAAAUCGGUUCGGAAUAACUUAUUAAAGCACGAUUUGAAAACUAUCGAUGGCAUCUCGAGCGGUAAAGUCAUUCGUCAAUUAUAUUCGGUAGAUAAAGCCAAUGUAAACUUCAAGGUAUGUACUAAGCUUACAGCUUCGCAUAUUUACCCAAAUAAUUUUGAGAAAAUGAGCGUAUCCCGAGCGACGCAGCUAUUGAGUAAUUCGGUAGCUACAUUGCAUUGAUAUGGCGCAGAAACAAGGGUUGCUAGGGUCUGAUGAAUACACCCUCAAAUGUGCCAAGCCGACUCAGUUGUUUGUAAAGCGCAUGAAUGAUUUGUUCGAUGAGCUCGAUUGUAAGAGAUUAAAUAAUAAAAACCCAUUGAAGGGUCCAAUUUGGCGCGAUUCUGUAGACAAGCUUAACAGGCUUAAGGACCAUAUUAAAUUCAUUUCGUCGAUUCAACUUCCUAAAAAUAUGAAUUCCUUGUGUUUUGCUGGUUUCAUUUUAACCAUUAAUUCGAUGAUUAAUUUAAGUCAAGAUAUCUUUGAAAAUUGCAAAGAUGUAAAUUUUAUAUUGUUGGGAAAAUUUAAUCAAGAUGCCCUUGAGAACUUAUUUUAUAGAAUCCGCUCAACUCAGGGCAUUAAUACGCAUCCAUCGGGCUCUGAAAUUCAGUACAUUGUUGCUCGCUUAAUUUCUAUGAAAAUUUUGAGACGGAAAUUUGAGAUAAAAGGAACAAACUGCGAAGAUGAUGAAGAUUUGGACCUGGAUUGGAAUAUUGCUGAUGAAGAUUCCUUGAAAGACAAUUUAGGACCUUCAGAGCAACUUGCGAUGGAUGUCGAUAUUCCAGAAGAGCAAUUUUCUUGGGAUAUUGACAUUCCUGAAGAGCACUUUGCUCCUCCUGAUGUGAGACUAAUUAAUCCAACUGAGUGGGUAUUUGAAAUAUUGCGCAUGCAGAUGGCAUGGUAUAAGCCUUUAUUUUCAGAAAUAUACUCAUUCAGUAGGAAUUCAUGAACAAAUUGUUAACGCGCUUAUUAAAAAACAAAUGAAGAAUUUUCGGAAUGGUUUUCAGAAGCGGGAGAUUGUUUUGAGCACCGAAAGCAACUUCUGAAUUCCAUGGUAACCGUAUUACUGUUUAAAAACGCGAAAUGGUUGGCUGGAGAUGAAGCCCAAGCAAACAUGGAGCGUCUUAAACAGAAUAAAUUGAAAAGAUUAAAUGUAAUAAAAAAAAAACAUUGAAAGAAAUGGCAUUUUCAAUUGCAAGCUAAGAGCCCAUGAAAUUGGAGGCAACAUGCGACGGCAGCAGCUUUUUUCUCUUUUUUCUUCUAUUUCCAGAUUUUUUCUUCUAUUUUCAGCUUUUUUUCUUCUAUUUUCUUAUGAAAUUGAAUAUGAAAUCUAAAUAUUAAUUUUCUUUUUCUAUUUUCAGAUUUUUUCUUCUAUUUUCAGAUAUUCCCUUAUGUUUUUUCGUAUAUUUUCUUUUUUUCUAACAUUUUUAAUUUUGUAGUAGUUAACCGUAGUAGUAGUGCAUGCCUUUUAAGUAGAAUAAUAUACCUACAUACAUAUAUAUGUGGAUUGAGUUAGUAGUUACAUAUGUAUGUAGGUGGUUAAAUUUUAUUUGCACACACGAGCCAAGUUUUUAAACUAUUACCAUACGAUUUCAACCGAGUGGAUUGAAUCGUCGUAUUAAAAACUGGUGAAAAAUAAAAAUGAUCUUAAAUGAUCGUGUGAGAAUUUGUCUUCAUAUGAGAUGGCAUAUUCGUAAUUCGUGUC